AUACGUAGGGAGCGAGCGUUGUCCGGAAUUACUGGGUGUAAAGGGAGCGUAGGCGGGAGUGCAAGUCAGAUGUGAAAUACAUGGGCUCAACCCAUGGGCUGCAUUUGAAACUGCAUUUCUUGAGUGAAGUAGAGGUACGCGGAAUUCCUGGUGUAGCGGUGAAAUGCGUAGAUAUCAGGAGGAACACCGGUGGCGAAGGCGGCUUACUGGGCUUUUACUGACGCUGAGGCUCGAAAGCGUGGGGAGCAAACAGGAUUAGAUACCCUGGUAGUCCACGCUGUAAACGAUGAUUACUAGGUGUGGGGGGACUGACCCCUUCCGUGCCGCAGUUAACACAAUAAGUAAUCCACCUGGGGAGUACGGCCGCAAGGUUGAAACUCAAAUGAAUUGACGGGG
rnacentral:rRNA from 1 species